UACGAAGGGAGCAAGCGUUGCUCGGAUUUAUUGGGCGUAAAGGGUGUGUAGGCGGUUUGAUAAGUUAGAUGUGAAAGCCCAGGGCUUAACCCUGGAAUUGCAUUUAAGACUGUUAGACUUGAAGAUUGGAGAGGUAAGCAGAAUUCCCAGUGUAGAGGUGAAAUUCGUAGAUAUUGGGAAGAAUACCAAUGGCGUAGGCAGCUUACUGGCCAAAUCUUGACGCUGAGGCACGAAAGCGUGGGGAGCAAACAGG
rnacentral:rRNA from 1 species